UAAUACAUAUGUGGCAAGCGUUGUUCGGAAUCACUGGGCAUAAAGAGUUCGUAGGCGGAUAUAUUAGUUGGGUGUGAAAUCCCGGGGCUCACCCCCGGAACUGCACUCAAUACUGUAUAUCUGGAGUCCUUCAGGGGUAAGUGGAAUUCCAUGUGUAGCGGUGAAAUGCGUAGAUAUAUGGGAGAACGCCAAUGGCGAAGGCAACUUACUGGGGAGUGACUGACGCUGAGGAACGAAAGUUAGGGUAUCGAACGGGAUUAGAUACCCCGGUAGUCCUAACCGUAAACGGUGUGCACUAGAUGUCGGACCAUUCUGAUGGUUCGGUGUCGUAGCUAAUGCGUUAAGUGCACCGCCUGGGUAGUACGAUCGCAAGGUUG
rnacentral:rRNA from 1 species